UUUUUAGAUUGAUAACAUUCC
ensembl:piRNA 21ur-8701 ncRNA